rnacentral:tRNA from 1 species
GAAUAUGACUGGGGAAACGAGAACUGCUAAUUACUCGUCACCAUGGUUCAAUUCCAUGGCAAAUUCG